rnacentral:rRNA from 2 species
GUUUGACCUCGGAUCAGGUAGGGUUACCCGCUGAACUUAAGCAUAUCAAUAAG